rnacentral:rRNA from 1 species
UACGUAGGGACCAAGCGUUGUUCGGAUUUACUGGGCGUAAAGGGCGCGUAGGCGGCUUGACAAGUCACUUGUGGAAUCUCCGGGCUUAACUCGGAACGGCCAAGUGAAACUGUCAUGCUAGAGUGCAGAAGGGGCAAUCGGAAUUCUUGGUGUAGCGGUGAAAUGCGUAGAUAUCAAGAGGAACACCUGAAGUGAAGACGGGUUGCUGGGCUGACACUGACGCUGAGGCGCGAAAGCCAGGGGAGCAAACGGGG